AUUAGGGACCCGAGUUGGUGGAUGACGUAGCCGUCACGUGACCAAGAGCUGACGUGUGCAGAAGUCCUUCUUGUUCUGGUCCUUGUUCCCGUCUGAGUACCAGCUCCCCAUUGCCCUGAGGGCCAGCAGGCCUGCGGCAGAGGGAAGGAGGAGGAAAAGAAGGAAAUUGUCCCGGAUUCUUGCAGUCUUUCCGUAGGUUGCGGCACUACACCAGGCAAGAAAAGAGGAAGGAAAUUAACACCAAUCAGUGAAGGUCGAUUUGAAAGUCUGCUGUAG
rnacentral:lncRNA from 1 species